AGCAGCCGCGGUAAUUCCAGCUCCAAUAGCGUAUAUUAAAGUUGUUGCAGUUAAAAAGCUCGUAGUUGAAUUUCGGGGUCAGUAGGUUGGUCAUGCCACUGGUAUGUACUGGUCUCACUGAUUCCUCCUUCCUGAUGAGCCGUAAUGCCAUUAAUUUGGUGUUGCGAGGAAUCUGGACUAGUUACUUUGAAAAAAUUAGAGUGUUUAAAGCAAGCUAACGCUUGAAUACAUUAGCAUGGAAUAAUGAAAUAGGACGUUCGUAUCCUAUUUUGUUGGUUUCUAGGAUUGACGUAAUGAUUAAUAGGGAUAGUUGGGGGCAUUAGUAUUCAAUUGUCAGAGGUGAAAUUCUUGGAUUUAUUGAAGACUAACUAACUGCGAAAGCAUUUGCCAAGGAUGUUUUCAUUAAUCAAGAACGAAAGUUAGGGGAUCGAAGACGAUCAGAUACCGUCGUAAGUCUUAACCAUAAACUAUAGCCGACUAGGGAUCGGAUAGUAUGUUAAAUUUUUAAUAGACUCAUUC
rnacentral:rRNA from 1 species